rnacentral:rRNA from 1 species
CUACCUACGGGACGCAGCAGUCGGGAAUAUUGCGCAAUGGAGGAAACUCUGACGCAGUGACGCCGCGUAUAGGAAGAAGGUUUUCGGAUUGUAAACUAUUGUCGUGAGGGAAGAAAUUGACAGUACCUCAGGAGGAAGCUCCGGCUAACUAUGUGCCAGCAGCCGCGGUAAUACAUAGGGAGCAAGCGUUAUCCGGAUUUACUGGGUGUAAAGGGAGCGUAGACGGCAGUGCAAGUCUGGAGUGAAAGGCGGGGGCUCAACCCCCGGACUGCUCUGGAAACUGUACGGCUGGAGUGCAGGAGAGG